GACGAACGCUGGCGGCGUGCCUAACACAUGCAAGUCGAACGGACAGACCCUGCUCUUGUGGGGUGCUCGAGUGGCGAACGCGUGAGUAACACGUGAGUAACAUGUCCUUGUCUUUGGGAUAACUCCUGGAAACUGGGGAUCAUACAGGAUAGGAGCUCCUGCACCACGGUGGUGGUUGGAAAGUUUCGGCGGUUGGGGAUGGACUCGCGGCUUAUCAGCCGGUUGGUGGGGUAGUGGCUUACAAAGGCUUUGACGGGUAGCCGGCCUGAGAGGGUGACCGGCCACAUUGGGACUGAGAUACGGCCCAGACUCCUACGGGAGGCAGCAGUGGGGAAUAUUGCACAAUGGGCGGAAGCCUGAUGCAGCAACGCCGCGUGCGGGAUGACGGCCUUCGGGUUGUAAACCGCUUUCGCCUGUGACGAAGCGUGAGUGACGGUAAUGGGUAAAGGAGCACCGGCUAACUACGUG
rnacentral:rRNA from 1 species